CGCCGGGCGUGGUGGCACGUGCCUGUAAUCCCAGCUACUCGGGAGGCUGAGGUAGGGGAAUCGCUUGAACCCGGGAGGCAGAGGUUGCAGUGAGCAGAGAUAGCGCCAUUGCACUCCAGCCUGGGCAACAAAAGCAAAACUCCAUCUCAAAAAAAAAAAAGAAGAAUAGGGAACCAGAAGGGCUUUGCACCAGGCUCCAUCAUGCAUCAGCCCAUCGCAUCCCUGUCGUCUUUCCCAUCCCCAGCCUCGUUUCCCUCUUGGAGGGUGAGGUGCCCCUUUGGAGGACCCUGGCUUCCCCAGGUUCCCCUCUGACACAUGUCUGCUAGUGAUCUCCCCUAGAGAUGGAAUUCCAAGUCGGGUCCCUGCAGUCUAAGGACUGGGAAACGGCAGACUGCUGCCUCCCCUGGGCCUUGGUAAUGUUUCCGAAAGGAUUCACCUGCUUUCUGGUGGGAGUGGGCUGCUGAGUAGUCACUGGGGCAGUGAGGAAUUGGAGUGGCAUUGCUUGACUCUUGCCCCAUUUGUGACGGCAUGUGCUGAUCCCUUGAAUGGAGUGUGGUACUGGGCCACUGGGUCGAGACUACUGGGAGACGGGGACUAUGACUUUGUCUGCAGCUCAGCAUUGCCAAGAAACAUGACCCGCUGCUCCGGGAGUUCCAGGAGGGCCGCCUACUCUUCCCGCCCACCUACAAGUUUGAUAGGAACUCCAACGACUAUGACACCAGUGAGAAAAAACGCAAGCCUGCAUGGACCGAUCGCAUCCUGUGGA
rnacentral:sRNA from 1 species